rnacentral:lncRNA from 1 species
AUGAUGUGUUAAACAUGAUUUGGGACAAAGAAAACACAUGCUAGUAAUUGGAAAGAGUGCUAAAAAAUUAUCUCUCUAUUCGUCAAAUGACUUACAGGUGAAUAACUCCUGUUCUAGAAACUGAACUGUAAAAAAAUUGGGCCCCUUUUUUAAAAAUCAUUACACAAUUUAUCUCUGAUUCUCAAACUUCUGUUAUUAUUUUUAAAGUUUUAUAAUUUUUUUUUUUUUUUUGAGGCAGAGUCUCGCUCUGUUGCCCAGGCUGGAGUGCAGUGGCGCCAUCUCGGCUCACUGCAACCUCCGCCUCCCAGGUUCAAGCCAUUCUCCUGCCUCAGCCUCCCAAGUAGCUGGGAUUACAGGCAAGCGCCACCAUGCCCAGCUAAUUUUUGUAUAUUUUAGUAGAGAAGGGGUUUCACCAUGUUGGCCAGGCUGGUCUGAAAUUCCUGACCUCAGGUGAUCGACCUGCCUCUCCUCCCAAAGUGCUGGGAUUACAGGUGUGAGCCACCGUGCCCAGCCAAGUUUUAUAAUUUUAAAAUAGCUUUAUUGAGAUACAAUUUACAUAUAAUAAAAUUUGCUAAUUUCAGGUAUACAGUUCGAUGGCCUAAAAUAAUUUUUUUUACACAGAGUCUUGCUCUGUGGCCCAGGCUGGAGUGCAGUGAUGCGAUCACAGCUCACUGCAACCUCUGCCUCCCGGGUUCAAGCGGUUCUUGCGCUUCCGUGACGUCACAAGGGCGCGCCGUCCGUGACGUCACAAGGGCGCGCCUUCGCCGACACCAUAGCGGUGGGCCUUUGGCGACGUCAGAGGCGCGGGUGUUCGCCUACGUCACUGGGGCGGUACGGUGCCUGGAGCUGGGCAGUCUUCUCGUCAGAGUGGGGACUGAUGAUGAUUAUUCCCCACCUUCUAAGAGACAAAGACCAACGAGCCACCACAGCCACCAGUCCCAGAACCCGCCAAUGCUGGGGAACGGAAAAUGAGGGAGUUCAACUCUGGCCCUCACAAUCCAGUGGAGGAGACGAAACUCAUCUGCCUCUGUCCCUCUGGGCACGCCUCAUGCCAGGUGCAUCUGUGGACAGGGGCCAUGCUCCUGGGCUUCCAAAGUUGGAGAAAGCUGCCAGGCUCAGGUGGGUACAUCACAACAGCUGCUGCCCUCUGAACACAGUGACAAAAGAACACUCUGGGCCUGGAGCCCUGGUCUGGGGCAUUGGGCAAGGCUGUUGUACUUCUCUGAUCCCAUUUCCCCAUCUGGAAAGUGCGCUGAUUGUAUCUCCCUGUGGGCACUGA